AUGGUUGUUUGUCUAUAUGUGCUCUGUGAUUGGUUGGCGACCAGUCCAGGGUGUACCCCGCCUCUCGCCUGAAGUCAGCUGGGACUUGGCUAGGCUGCAGCAUAACCGUUGCGACCCGAAUGAGGAUAAGCGUCAUAUAAAUUGGAUGGAUGGAAUAUAAUGGACUUCAACUUCUACAGGCUGACAGGGGGAAUAUGGAUCUUCUGCUGGCUCUGAGAGCUUCUUGUUACUGGGAGCAGGGUGAAGGCUCUGAUUGCCGGCUGAGACACAAUGAAAGACAGAACGAGGGGAAACGAAGUACCUUUCUCGAGGCAGACUGAAACGAGGUUGUUUUGGACAUCGUUUGCUGAGGGUGAACAACUUCCUGAUGAUCUUCUGAGCUUUGCCCUGGACCAAAGCUACGCUGGACUCGAGCUGGGCGUAGCGCUUCUGGAGGGAGACGUCAGCAGACCAGUACUUGGCUACCAUGGACACAUUCAAGAAUUGGUCGAUGCAGACGUAAAGACAUAAACCUGAGCUUCAGUCUGAGCUGUCUUCAUGUGAGGAGUCAAAAAAAGGGAGCUCGAUUGGGGACUGCUGAAAGUGUGGCAUGAAGAAAAGGUAAG